CAUAAGGGUCCUCAACCAAAGCUUGAUAUCCCAGUCCAAUGCAGGAUUUUAUUUGUGUCACCACCUUUUUUUAGAGAAUUCUAUAUGUUAGGGGCUACGAAAAGAUGAAGUGAGUCCUUGACGUUCCCAGGGCCCAGAUUUCUAGUUCUGUCCCCCACCUACUAGCUGCAAGGCAUUUUCCCAAAAUGCAUCUUUCCCAAGCUCCAAAGAGGUGGCCUAUACCCGGGCCCCCUGGGGAUUUACCUGCCACUGUGAGCUCUUCAGGGCUACAACCCAGUCUAGGCCUGAUGCUGACUCACCUGCGCUUCUCCCUCCAGCAUUUACUGAUUCUACACAUUGGCAGCCAGGCUGAAAGGCAGGCACAGUAGACAUCAUAUCCUAGCUGCCCAGGAGCCACUGUCAGGAGGCAGGGCAUUGCAGAGCCUGUGGGGCCUCCAGCUGUCUUCAUAGAUCAGCAGUAGAACAAAGAGAACCAACAUGCUCAACCUAGUCCACCUCUGGACUUGGGGCCAAUUAGCCAGGCAACAAAAAAGGGACAGGGUAGAGCAGUGUGGAAAGCCAGGUAGGGCACUGCCUCUUGCACACCCCAUCUGGAUCAUUACCAUCCCUACCUGUGCCUUUCUAAAGCUGCUCAUCAUCUGCUAUUUGCUGAUGUGUUUGUCAUAUGCAUGAAUGAAAGAAAGAAUGAAUGAAUCACUGGCUCAUCCCUUUCCUGGAAUUGCUCCAAAGUCAUUGAGACUCAGAGGCCAGAGGACUGGUCUGGUGUCACACAAGUGGUGGGGACAAGGGUCAGCCCUUGGUUCACCUGGCCAGAGGUGACAAGACUUUUGUAGUCAAGGCCCCUCUACCACAGGCCAGACAGGAGUGGAAUCUCAGGCCUGUUUCCACAUCCAGCUCACCCAACCUGCCCCAUGACCACCGCUUUGUCCCUUACAAUUGGCCCAUAGCUCUCCUAUCAUUUCUUACCUGUUCCCCUGGCCACCUCACAUGGGAGUUGACUGCCUGAUAGAGAGCAGCAUUUAAGUGCCCAGGGGAAAAAAAUCAAUUCACUUGGUUCCACUUUAAUCCAUCAGUUCCAUUUCUGAUAAAUGUCCCCGUACCGAGGUCACCACAGAGCUACGGUACCCAGCAGACAUUACUUGCUAAGUCAGAAAAGCUGAAGCAAACAAGAGUCCAGUGAGCAGGGGUUUUCCUGGGGCUUCGGCUCAGGGCCAGCAGCCCCACAGCCCUUCCUUUCCACACAGGUACAGUCUGGCCGACUUCAAGAGUUCCCCCACUUGGGGGCCCUGCCUGGGCUGAGAAGGUAGGGAGGUCUUGAAGCCACAUAAAGUCCCAGGCAGAACUGCUGAGAGACAGAGCCAAGAGACCAGAUAAAGGAAAGGGAGAACCCUAAGAACGGAGAAGGUCAACCCCAGGAAGGAGCAGAGGGAGGCUGUAGCUCAUUCUGGGCAUCUGUUGCAUUCUCCAGGUACCUGGGCUUGUCCUACUGAAAGGAGUGUCUUCUUCUCUGCCCCUGUUCACCCACUACUCCAUGCUGAGAUACCCUGCAUGGGCCUAUGCUCUGACCAGCUAGCCCUAGGUCAGAGGACUGGUCUGGUGUCACACAAGUGGUGGGGGCAAGGGUCAGCCCUUGGUUCACCUGGCCAGACGUGACAAGAGGUCUAGAAUGAGCCCCAGGGCCCUCCCAGUGUGGCCUCAGGAUGUGUGUGUGGCAUAGUAGGCCCUCAGCUGAUGGAACUGCGAUGUGCAAUGAGCCCACCUGCCUCUCCCACCGUGACCUCUCACGCCCCAGGCAUGCAGAGAUCAGCCCCCACCUCCAACCCCUCUACCAGGCUGAAUGAGCUCAGCUCUCUCACCAUGAACUGGUGGCACUGCUGGAUGGGAUUAAUCGGGACACACGGCUGCUGCUGCAUAGGGCCCCACAGAGGAAUGAGCUGGCGCUAGAGGACGAGUGGAUUAGACUCAGGGUCAAUAUUUGUGGAAUUGAAUUGAAUCCGUCAACUGGGAGCCAUGUGUGUUCUGGGUAGUUUUGCAGUUUCUGCCUCAGGCAGGAAAGAUCCAGCAGUUGGGCCUCUCAAAGGCCACAGAGCACAACUCUAGGGCAAGAGGCCUUGGGGCCCUGUGUUCUCACAGCCAAGCCAGAGCAGGAUAGGGACAGGAAACCCCUACAGGUGCUGACAAGCGCCAGGGAUUGACUGUGGUUCCAGGCUAUGGAGAACUGGCCCCGUCUCCCAGGGACAUGGAAGCCCCACCUCCCACGCCUUGUGCCUGGCUGGUCCUUUAGGAAAUGGAGUGGGGAGGACAGAAUCUGGUCUCUCACAGAGUUAGGUUUAGGGAUGAAGACUGCACUGUUCUGGCUACUGUCUGGAGAGGACAAAUGGGGUGACAGUGUGAGGGCCAGGGGACAGCAAGAAGCCAGUCAGCAUGGGCCCAUGUGAAGGCUGCUGUGUCUGUGGCCAGCAUUCUCAGCCGAGUUUCCUGGCCACUGCCCUCACUCUGUAGCAAGAGACCUGGUGAGACUGUGAAGGGACAGGUGGCUGCCCCAAGACCCCACCCUCUCUCCCAAAACAGAUUCUGCCCCAGCUUCUCCUGCUUGGACCUGUAGGUGUCAGAGACUGAGCCAUUGCCCACCUUCAGUCCCCAAAACCCUAAUUGGAUUAGUCCUGUUUAGAAAGCAGCAAAGCUGCUUAUAUUUGAGCAAGGGCUCAGCAGAUUAUGCUAGGCCAAGGGUGUCUGUCUAUGCACAGGGAGAUUCAGGAGGGAAACUGUCACCAAACAAGUGUUAAUUAAAAGCAAACUCGCAGAUGAUAGGCCCAGCCUCCACUGGCCCAGUAAAUAUUUUGUUCUGUGCGGGACUCUGGGGGGGAGGGGGCGGGUCUCAGGCAGAGGCCCAGGCCCAGGCCCAGGGUACUGGGUCCAAGGACACAGUGUGGAGCCAGUAAAAAGUACAGGGUCAUGGGUAUCCAGGACUACUCACACGGAGUGUGGACCUGACAGAGGGUAGCUUAGGUCACCCUGGUUCUUGUAACUCAAUCUCCUUCCCUGUGACUCUCUCAAAAGUACUGGCAUUUGGAGUGUGACACUAUUACAUUAAUUCCAGCAACUGGGAAAGCCUAUGAAGCCAGUGUCCCCUAGACUGGCUCCUGCCAGAGCCCAGAAGGUACACUGAGGCAGAUUGGACUAGAACUCUACUCAGGAGAACAGAGCCUGGACAUGACAGAAACAUUGGAACCGAGCAACCAUGAACUGAAAUCAAUAAAACUGUAAGUCAAGAAUCAAAAUAAA